CCGGCGGAGAGCUGGCAGCGGAGUCCUGGCUGCUGGUCGUGGGAGGACUUCAGUCGAGCCCGGCCCCAGACCUUCAGGCACGACUCGCGCAGACAGGACCAAGGAGAGCCCUGCCCUAACUUUUAUCCUGGAUAAGGCUGUCCUACAGAGUAUUAUUCUUUUUGUACCUCUGCUACCUUGUGUUGAAAGCAUUUUCACCAACCUUCUGGAACAACUUAGACAUCUAAAAGGAUCCCAGGUUUGGUGAGUUACCUAAAGAGAAACAGAAGAGUGAAGGAAGCUGAAUUCUACUCUGAAAAGGUGAUGAAUCUUUCCCUGUGUUUCCUGGCCCCUUUGGAAAGCAUGCUCUAUACAGUUCAGACCCCAGGCUAGCACCGUGGUACUGUCCACAUUUGUCAGCCAUGUGUCCAGACCUACUGUGAGAUGUGCCAUGGAAUGACUGUUAAGUCAAGCCGCUGAUGUCCUGGGAGUUCCUGAAGAUGCUGCUUCCUCCACAGGCGUGUUCACUGCUGUGGUUUCUGUGAGACAAUCUUUACCCACUCUGUCCUCUGCACUCCCAAGAAACCCUCUGGGAGAAUUAACACCAGCUUCUCUGUCCAAGCCUUCUUCACCUCCACCCUCCAUUUUCUCUUCUGAACUGAGGACCCCUUCAUGUGACUUAACUUCACCCUCAGCACUCAGUCACUCUCUGCUCCCAAUGCCUGUUCCUCCCUUGGAUUCCACAUUCCCAGCAGACAUUCAGCACCCAUCCACUUGCCUUUCUUCAUCUCCCACCAUGUGACACACAGGGAACAGAUGUUGUUCUCUAAGCUGAGGUGACUUUCUCUCCGAACACCGUCAAGUGGUUUUGAUUUCUGCCUUUCAAGAGAUGUCAAUCUCUUAUCAAGUUAAGCCCAAAAAAUGGUCCCAUGGUUGCCCAUGUUUAUCAUCAGGAACCAACGGCCUGCCUGCUUCACCACCACCAGAUGGCACUUUAGCUGGGACUCAACCUGAACAUGUUUCCAUCUCAGGAAGCUUGUUCUGGAGAUGUUCUCCACAGAUGGUGCUGAUGAGCUGUCCCCUAUGUUCCAGGAAUCAGAGGCACUAAUCCUGAAAGCAGUGUCAGAAUUCUCCUGCAGGAGCCUCCAUCCUCGGACUUUCUUCCUCUUCCCCUUCUAAGACUUCAUUUGUGGGAGACCCUGCGGCUAUCUGCUUAUCUCUCCCUGCUCAAGUCUGAUGUUCUUGCCUUCUUGGAGAGACAAGUUUAAAUCUGUGGUGAUUUCAUGAUGCAGAAGAAAAGGAAAAGAAAACAGGUUCUUUCCCAAAGCAACUUAGGCCAGACUCCCAGCUAUCAAACUUUGCUAUGUAUUAUGUGCAACUUUUUGCCCCAAAUUUAGGGAUAAACAAGAAUGUGCAUCAUAUGUGGGUAGUAUGGCUUGGGAGUGGGAGUGUCCAGUGAGCCUCCAGGAGCUGUUUUUGUUUACUUUUGGGGUCUACUGAGUUUCUGGGGUUCCAGUCCAGGAGAAUCCCAGAUUUGGUGGUAGUGAGCCAGCGUGGCCUCCGCCUAGUGCCAUGACCAAGGGAGGGGGUUGUGGUGGGGCUGGCGAGGCAGGCCCUGGCCUUGUGGUGCAGAAUCUGUGGCCCAUGGUGUUGCUGCACAGAUGAGGGUGGGAGCCCUGUGCAGGUCUCAGGAUCCACCAUGGCUGCCCUUGGAUUGAGCACCUCACAAGCUCCUGACCCGGUGGCCACAUGUGUGGGAAACUUGUGUGUGGCCCCUGAUGUGGUGAGAAGGGAAUGGCUCCCAGGACCAAGGGAAUGGGCAGCCUUGACAGUAGGUGGCUAUGGAAGGUUGGCACAAUCUGAAUGUUUACAGAGGAAUGCUAGCCCUUGCCACAUGUGUCUCUUUUGGCCAAGUACUGAGUUGGGUUUUCAGAAUGUUUCAGCCAAAAACGUGGCUGCACAGUAUACAUGGCAAAAUAUGGUAAAUUUUUCAUGGACAAUAUUAGUAUCAAUUCCCAACAAGCAUGACUCAGCAGAUUCCCUUCCUCUGUGAACCAGCAAAGGCAAAGCAGAGCACCUGCAUAUGGACUGCAGCUCCUAUGUCCUUAGACCUUUGAGGAUGACAUAGAGCAAAAUACAUCCAGCUCUCCUGGCAUCUUUUGCAUCUGCAGGGUGAGUCUCUACCCUUUGUGGUGCUAGUCUCAAGUGGCUGUUCCUGAACAUCUGUGUUCUUCAAUCUCAAAUACUUUCAUAGCUCAAGAAUAACCAGUAAUUAACCAUCUCUAACUUCUCUCCAUGUGUCAGAACCUGCCCCAUCUCAGUUCUUAACCCUGACUCAGAUCCAGUCUCAGACCCAAUUUCAAUUCCAGCUCCCAGUCCUAUCACCUGUUUCCCUAGCUCAGAUUAGGUUCUCGGGAAUGUGUUUUCUUAAACUACAGAAUGAGGCACAGCAUGUUAUGCCAUCUAACAUUUUCCAUCUGGUCUUAAAUGUGUCACAGGAAGAGCAGUUUGUACUCUGCGAUCAAGAAAUCCCAGGAAGAAUUUUGUCCUCCAGUUCCCAAACUCACAUGGCCGAGCCCGUCCUCCAAGGUCUGUAUUCCAACCCCCAUCUUUCUGGGAGAUUUUUCUGUCAGCAUUGAGUUUCUGAAGAAAACAGGGCAGCAUCAUCACAAAGGAAUUUUGGAUUUAGUCAAACUGGAAGCUCCCAACAGAGAUGCUGAGAAAUGCUUCACUUAACAAGGAUGCUCAGAUGGAUCAGAAACUUAGCCUGAGGAAUGGCCUAAAAGAUCAUCUGAUGAGUGAUUCAGACAGGUCUUCAGAUAAGGGUUUGGGUCUAACUCUCUGAAAGGCCUAGAAAAUCAGGGAAUAAUUCAAGGCCCUCAAGAGUGAGCCUAAAACUGAAACAACUGGAACAGGUGGGAACACCAAUUCUGAAGGUGGGAUGCCUGAGCCUCCACCCAGAAGAAGCUCUGAAGCUAAUCAUGUAGAACAGUUUGGGACAAAAAAUUCAGUUGCCAACUUUUUAUCCCUUCCUGCCUCGUCACCUGUGGGCAAAGGAAGGACAGGGAGUCCUAAGUAAAUCUCCAUUUUAUACAAAGCAUGAACCAACAGACAGUGACAAUUAAGAAUGGCAGGCAGACUCUUCUGUGCACCCCUCAUGGAAGCGUAGACAAGAUGCAUGAGGACAUCUUUAGGAGCACAUGUCUUCCCUAUCCCUGUCACUGAAGGGAUGGCCUCCUAUUGAACAUCACGUUAGUAAGUAAAUGAUUCUUUAUUGGCAGCGGAUUUCUAAAUGCAGCAUAAAACAGAAGGGGCAAGAAGAUUCUCUGGAAAAGAGUAGCCCCCAAUUGUGUCAGGACCAUUCCCCACCCACAGCCAACAGAGAGCCUGUGCCCCAUCCCUGACCCCAUGCAGGCUGCAAGUUGGCCUGGUGUCUUCCGGUCCCCCUCUACAGCUGAGAUUACAGAGUCUGUCUGCUUCACUGCGUUUCCUGAGAGGAAAGUUCACUCCCUUAAAAUAAUACACUGCUGAGUAUAUGUCACUAUGUUUGUACAAACUCAUGGAGUGUAGAAUGAACCCUAAUGCACACUAUGGCUGUCUUAGGUUGACAGUGAUGGAUCUAUGUAGUUAUCUCAGUUCUAACAAAUGUACAAUUUCCUUGCAGCAUGUUGAUAGUGACGGAGGCUGUGCAUGUGUGGGGCAGGGGCUAUAUGGAACAUCCCUGUACUUUCUGCUCAAUUUUUCUGUGAAACUAAAACUAA